UUCCGGUUGAUCCUGCCGGACCCCACUGCUAUCGAGGUGGGACUAAGCCAUGCUAGUUGAGCGCACAGAACUAUGUCUGUGAGCGGCACACUGCUCAGUAACACGUAGCUAACCUACCCUUAGGACGUGGACAACCCCGAGAAAUUGGGGCUAAUCCGCGAUAGAUGUAUUGUCCUGGAAUGGUAUUACGUCUAAAGGUAUCCCAUACAUGUUUGGUAUACGCCUAAGGAUGGGGCUGCGGCCGAUCAGGCUGUUGGUGAGGUAAUGGCUCACCAAACCUUUGACCGGUACGGGCCAUGAGAGUGGUAGCCCGGAGAUGGACACUGAGACAAGGGUCCAGGCCCUACGGGGCGCAGCAGGCGCGAAACCUCCUCAAUGCACUUACGUGCGAAGGGGCUACCUCGAGUGCCACCUGAUGAAGGUGGCUUUUCCUAGGUCUAAAAAGCCUUGGGAAUAAGAGGGGGGCAAGACUGGUGUCAGCCGCCGCGGUAACACCAGCCCCUCGAGUGGUGGGGAUGAUUAUUGGGCCCAAGGCGUCCGUAGCCUGCCGUAUAAGUUUCCCGUUAAAUCCAGCGUCUCAAGCGUUGGACUGCGGGAAAUACUGUACGGCUAGAGAGUGGGAGAGGUCAGCGGUAUUCUGGGGGUAGGGGCGAAAUCCUUUGAUCCCCGGAGGACCACCAGUGGCGAAGGCUGCUGACUAGAACACGUCUGAC
rnacentral:rRNA from 1 species